AAACAUAAACUAAACGAUCUUUGGCUUUCUUUGUCAGUCAGCCAUAGGAAAUUUGAGAACUUUCCCAAGUCCUAAGAAUGAAAGUGGUGUGUGUGUGUGUGUGUUUGAAGGAGAAGUCAUUUUUAUCUUUGAAGAGCUGAAGCUUCAUUUAUACUCCCUUUCUUAGCACGUGUUAUCAGCAAGGGGAAAGAUGCUGUGUCUUAGGAUGCUGAGAGCAUUUUGCUAGCUUCCUGGUCAUCCCUAGAGCGGUCUUUACAGCUGGUUGUGGAAACCGUAGACAUGCACGGUACAGGGGUGAGGACACCCCGCUUGCCCACCACUGAGAAGAACGUGAACUCGGGUUCAGUCUGUCCUGCCUGCUAACAUGAAGUCUCAGUCCUAUUGGGCUGGAGACUUCCUCUAUAUUUUUGGCAAGCCAGCCGGUAAAAAGUCUACAUUUUUUUGUAUUUGAAUUUCAAGCACAUCUCAGCUUUGUCUCAUCGCAAAUGAGACAUCCGGCACGCUCAGAUAGGACAGUCAGUUGCAUACCAUUCAGGAAAGUUAAUUCUUGUCCAGUUCUGUCAUCGAAGUUCUCUGAGCGCUCUUCCCUUUCCUACGAAAUCAGUUAUCUGACGCAUAAAGCAACAUUGCGUAAGGAUCUCGUGAGACAUGUCUCUUGCCUUUUCUUUUUGUAUUUUGAGAUAAAAACUAAUCUUUUAAAAUUGCUAAAUUGAAGUUUGGGCUAAUUAUGUGUGUGUGUGUGUGUGUGUGUAUUUUUUUAAUUUAUUUAUUUUAUUUUAUUUUUUUGCUUUUUAGGGCAACACCCGCAGCAGAUGGAAAGUUCCCAGGUUAGGGGUCAAAUUGGAGCUGUAGCUGCCAGUCUACACCACAGCUCACAGCCACACCGGCUUCUUAAACUGACUGAGCGAGGCCAGGGAUCAAACCCGCAUCCUCCUGGAUCCUAGUCGGGUUCGUAAACUGCUGAGCCACAAAGGGAACUCCGGGCUAAUGACAAUUUUUGAUACCGAUGUCCUCGUGGCCCUAUAGAGUUAAUUCUGAAAUCGCUGUGACUUGAAUUAGAGAACACGCAGGUAGGAAGGGUGACAGCCGGGAGAGUGGGCUACACACUGCCGGAGGUGACGUGCGGAGGCUUCGCCGUUUCACGUGGCCCGUGUAGACCAGCGACGCCUUCAGCUAAUUCAGAUCCCAAGUGGAUGCAGGUCCGUCUUUCUUUCUGCUUGGUGAAUUACACGUCUCAGACCUUUUUUUUUAGCAUUUCAGUACAAGUUGUUGGCUUUUAAGUAUCUUAGUUUUAUUAUUCUCACCCACCAGUCACGAAGAAGGUGUACCUUAGAACCUGGGCUUACAUUUUUUCCAAGUUAAACUGAGGAACUUGGCGGCUGAAAGAUGACUGCAAGCAGUUUGCUUUAUCAUGUUUCCUGUUUAAUUGGAGGAGAAUUACACAUGCACUUAUUCCCUGGUUCCGCGUGUUUAUAGGAAAAACCGUUCUCAGCUACCUCAUUAUGUAGUGUUGUGCUUGAUCCGCUGCCAGUUUAGAAGAAUUCAACACAUUCUGUCCUUUAACAAAAGCCUGGAAGCAAAGCAGUAAGCGGCCUUGACGAAUACAAUUCUCUAAGGCGUAGUUUCCAUUUUACCGCCUCUUUUUUUUUUUUUUUUUAAUAGGCACUUUUAAUCAGAAGGAACAAUAAUUCUCCUAGAGCUGCUGCAAAGUGAUUACUUGAAACUCGACUUGAACUUUAAAGAGUCUUUACAAGGCUGUGUUUUCAUAACGUAGAAAAGCUGUAUAUUUAAACGCCACUGCUGUGUGGCAAAUAGACGGCUUCAUUGCCAUCCUCGGUGGGAUCAGACAGGAGACAUUUUUUUUCUCUGUAAUUGGACCCAGUGCUUGGAAUUUUGAUGCGUGGGGCCACUGUGUUUCAUUUUCUAUAAGGUGCUACGGAUAGCAUUUUAAGGAUCUCUUGAGUGUUUUCGUGAAUUUGUUUCCCAAGAAUCUUAAUUUUGAUGGAAGCAGAGGGCUCAUCACAAAGCUCCUGUCCUCUUUUAGUUCUCACAACCUGGGGUUUGAAAAGGAAACACUGGCGUGUUCCCAAAGUGCAGGUUUGAGGUGACCGAACAACACAGUAUCGAAGUAUACUUACCAUCACGAGCUAUCAGCUUCGGUUUGUGUCCGUGGAGCGUCCCCAGCUUCCCCCUGCAGCGCCUCUACAGGGCACACGUGGGCGCUGUCCGCCCCGCAUGUGUCAGCUUAGCUGGGGGGUAAGUUAGGGGCAGCUGUGGGGGCAUCAGUUCUUAUAGACAGACCCCUCCUGGGGGUGAUUUCUUCUAGGAAUUACCCGGUACCACUCAUGAUCAAAAGAGAUAUGCCCCUUCCUGAAAACUUAGUGUACGAGGCGUAACUUCCAUACUGGGUAAGAUCUAAAACCUUAACUGCCCCUGUGCAUGAAUGAGAGAUCACAUUUAUGCUCGUGCUUUUUAGACGAAAGGGCUUGCUGCCGACGGCAGAGUUCAGCUAAGUUCUCCUCGGGUGGCAGCACGUCCAGCAUCAGUCACGGGGGAUCCCCCCGAGUGGUUUCCUGAGAAACGAGGCUCACCCGUCGAAAGCCCCAGCUUUCCCAUUUUAGUUAUUUUUGAGGACAGUGUCUGUAAAUGGGCCAUGUCCUGUCCCAGGCGAGCCCAGUGGUCAUGAGCACCCGUGGGUCUCGCUGCAGGUGCACGUGGGCUUGAAGACGCCGACUGCUCUGUGAGCUUGGAAGCCCUUUGACCCUGAGGCUCCAGCUCUUCCCUGUACAAGCAGGUAACAGGUGUUUCCCUGCCAGGCUUGCUGAGAGGGGGCAGCAGAGUGAGGAAGGUGAGAACUGGGCCACUAAAGACCGUGGCUGCUGCUGCCACCCACCAGCCUGGAGUGACGUAUGCCGUCAGCAGCUUUGGGGCCCGCACUGCCUGCCCCCAGCCACUCUGGCCUCAGCGCCCUGUCAUUCUCCUGUCUGCCACCCCAGGGUCCACUAGUAUGUGUGCGUUUGCUUUUACAAAUUUAGUUAAUUUCUGGAUCCGUGAUUCUGCUCUGCUUCUCCAAUACCUAAAUUCACAAUAACUCUAGAGAGUAGAAACCCCAAAAUACAUGUUUAGAAUGUUUAGAGUGGUCAUAAAUAUCUCUUAUUUCAGGAUUUGCCUAAUGAAGUACUCUAAUAUUUAAAACUCUUUCCUGAAGUUGGAAUUUUCUUCUUUCCUUGAAAUAUCAAAGGUAGUUGUCUUCAUUGGUCAGAUAAGGAUAUUUUAAGACCUCUGUUUGAGAUCAGUAGACCUAAACGAUGCUUUCUAAGCUUGGAUGUUUUUUGGUUUUUUGGUUUUUUUGCUUUUUAGAGCCACCUCACAUGACACCUGGAAGUUCCCAGGCGAGAGGCCGAAUCGGAGCUAUAGUUAUUGGCCUACACCACAGCCACAGCAACGCGGGAUCUGAGCUGCAUGUGCAAUCUACACCACAGCUCAUGGCAAUGCCAGAUCCUUAACCCACUGAGCGAAGCCAGGGAUCAAACUCCCAUCCUCACGCAUCCUAGUCGGGUUUGUUAACCAUUGAGCCAUGAAGGGAACUCCUGAGCUUGAAUGUUAUGUGAAACUUAAAAACAAACUUUAUGUUGUAUGUGUGUGUAAUUUCUGUACCUUCAGAUAAAGAAGGGUUAUUUAAGAAACUGAUCCCCAAAGUGAACUGGUUAAUCCUUUUAUAAAAUCCCUUCCUCUCCAGUUCAGAUCACAGACUGGCGGAUUUAGCAGGUACGUGACAUACCCAGCUUAUCUUGAUUUCAGUUAGACAUUUGAUAAAGUCAUUCCUGGUAUUUUUGUGAUUGAGAAAAGGAAGUAGAAGCAGACGUGAGAGGGCUGAGAAGUACCGGGCAGCGCUGACCCGAUCGCAGCCUUGGCGUCGUCGGUGGAGCCACUCGAGCAGUGUCUGUUUUUAACGUUUUCAUUAGUAACUUGUGUAAAAAUACAGACAGCAGAGGAAAGUGGUGGCGGAAUUCAGCGCUGGGUGCCAGGCUCUGCAGUGCUUUUUACAGUCUAAUCACGUGGCUAAGUGUAGCCUCAUGUCCAGGUUCAGAGAAGAUGGUUCCCAUGUGAAGGGGAGAGAAAGAGCGGGGCAGGCGGGAAUCGCGGAUCAUGUGAACAUGAGCCAACCGCUUCACCCAAGCCCGGUGCCCUGGUCUGCGUGGGGGCGGGAGCCAGAAAGGUGGCUCUGCAGCUUCGCGCACGCCGGGCCCCCGGGCCCCGCACCUCCGCCAGAGAGGCUGAGCCAGCCUCGAGGCCACCUGGAGGAUGGCAGCUGGGUUGGCGGCCAGGCUCCGGCCCUCGGGACGAGCAGAGCGCCUCGCUCAGGCCACCAGACAAAAGCUGUAGAGGCAGGACGUGUCCAUCAGCUUCAGAACUGUCACCGAGAGUUGCCUGGUAAGACAACGGGCCCUGCAGCGCUGGGCUCAGCUCCGAGGGCCAUCCCCUCGGUGGCCCCCAGCGCCCGGGACUGCCAGGGUCUCGGUGUCAGCGAGAGGAGUCCUGCUUGGUGCCAGGAGAGGGGUCCCAGUCCGCAAAGCUUCUUGCAGACAGGAGGUUGGGCGAGCAGGUUAGUGACAAAGUGGGAAGGCGAGCAAGGCUCGUCCUCUAACUCGCACCUUGUCUUUGAGAGGCGUCUUUGUCCUUUCGCCAUGCCACCCCCCACCCCCCGCCGCCCGGUCCCGCUGCCCCCCCCCACUCACCUUCCCUUGACUCUGGCCACAGCUGCAGCAGCAGAACCCUCAGAAACAAACAUAUUUCUAGAGAUCGCCCUCAAACCGUGCUGUCACCUAGAACAGUGAUUCCUGCUUUCUCUGUGCUGUUUUUCCUAAAUCUCUCAGGAUCUCUGCAGGCUUAGGAAAGCUGCCGAGUGACCAUCUUUUCAGCAGGGCCUGGCUGCCCCCGGGGCCUGAGAGGCUGUCAGGGGAUGGGCGGGGGCAGCCGGCUGGGCCGACCUCUUCCAGCCCCUCCACCUCCAGGCCUGGGUCCCCUUGCUGGAGGGUUACCGUGUCAUCCCUUAGAGGCGUUGCCAGAGGACCGGCCUCCCCUCGGGCUCUGCCUCUCCUCCUUCUCUGACCACCCCCACCCCCACCCCAUCCCCCUCAGUCUCACUCCUGGUUCUGGAGGGAGAGGGAGGGUGUCACUCCCCCGUCUGAGUCUGAGUCUCUUCCCCACUCCACCUGCCCCAGAGCAGAGGGAACAAGUGGGGACCAGGGCACCCCCAGUUCCCGUCCAGGUCCAGGUUCUGGUCUUAGGGAGGGAGCUGUGUGCUCUGCUCUCCCAGGCAUGUGGGUUUUCUCCCCAUCUCCUCGGUGUCUGCACCGUCGAAUAACCUGUUUGGACCAGUGUUCAUUCUCUUCCCCGCGUCCCCUUCUGCCCGCACAGGCUGCAGGUGGAGCCUCCUUGCUGGGCCGCCGAGGAGCUCAGUCAGGUGGAAGGAGAUGGUUUGGGUCAUGUGUUGAGAGCGCCCUGACUUACAGGCUAAUCCCGACAUCGCGUCCCACCGUCUCACCCCUUCCCUCUCCCAGCCUGGUUUUUUAACUGCUUGAAUUAUGUGUCCCCCAAAAAAGGCAGGGGAGACUCUUCUGGUGCCCCAGACCAUUAUCCUAAAAAUACUUGGAGAAAGGCGUUCUUCCGGGAGCCGCCGACCUGGCCUUUGCGACCAGCACUUUCUGCUGCCAGGGAGCCAGGCGGGUCACCCCGGGCAGCUCCCAGAGGCUGCACCACUCUGCCCCUCCCGGGUGAGAACGGGGGGCGGGAGGGGGACCGGGGCCUCCCCCAGCCCCCCGCGUGGCCAAGUGCAGCUUUGAGCUCCUUCAGCAGCUUGACCAGAACAGCCUCCCCGAGGCCCGAGUUGCCCCCCGCCCCUUCCCCAUCUGCCCCCGAGGUUCUCAGGGCUCUGUCCUGGAGCCAGACAGAGGGGCUCCAGACGCCGCACGCACUACCUCAGCACCCGGCCUUCAGGCGCCACGCAGGCCCCACGGCGUCUGCCACCCCCCGUGGGUUCCUGAGAGCAGGGCAAGGCUGUGUCUCCUCUCCUUUAGCUCUGACUUCAGAACCCACUGCACUCCCAGCUGAGACUAAAAUCAGACACCAGAAUUGCUUGUGUACGAGAAGAGAAGCAUCUUCUCAUGGCUUUUUUUUCAAAAGGAUUUUUUUGCUUCAGAAGAAACUCCAGAAAAUAAGUGUACUCUUGUCAUCUCUGCAUUCGCUCGUUGAAUUUGACUCUUUAUGCUUUUUGUAAAAAAUUACGUAGGAUCUGGUACGUGGGGCCAAAGGGUGUCAUCACCUUAAAAAUAAGCCUCCAAUUUUGGUGAGUUUACAGCAUCGUUUUCCUGUAGGGGAACCUGCAUGUGAUAGUUGCGCAUGACAUCGGAGAUCACCAGAUUCCACGAGGAGAUACUUUAGGGUGGGAAGUGUAUUAAGUGGCCUCUGGAUGAGAAAAGUGCGGGCCGGUUAGCAAUGCUCCCCUAAUUAAUUGAGCGUCAGUGGCGUUGUCUGCUGAUGGGAUUCUCUCAUUUUGACUCACUUAUAACCCAGCUUUUGUGUGGUUCCUCCUUCCUGUCCCCCUUCACGUCGCUAGUGACGUCGUGACACUUGUUCCACUCUGAAUCGUACCAUUUGUGCAUUGUGACGACCAUGAAAAAUAACCAUGCUUUCGGCAGAACUUUGGAACACCCGUUAGAGCCCAUUCUGCAGUUGCAGCAGCGGAGCUGGGAGGGAUCCGUGGAUUAAACAAGAGCCCCUCCCUACCCCACCCCUUCACUCCCCGCUCCUCAGACACUGGCUUUUAGGAGCCCCUCAAGCAGGCUCUGGCAGACUUCGCUUUCUCACUGUGCGUUCCUGGUGACAGAGAUGCGUGUCCCUGUCUGUGAACCAGGUCCAUCCAUCACUCAUUCUAAACGUUUUCUAUCACCAGGGCCGUCUUCUGCUCCGAGAGAAGACGACCAAGAGAACUCCUUAAAACAGGACUGUAAAUUCAGCUUGACCCUCCCAAGUUCAGGGCUCACCUUCACAGCAGGCUCUGGUCCAGCAGAACCACCAGCAACCCUCCCGUUGACGGGUUGUCUGCAUGGGACCAGCCGCUGUACGUGACGGUCACCCUGGUCAGGUUGUAGCACACUCUCGAUUCGUCUUUUUGAUGCUUUUAAUACCAUGGCGUCCUUGAGUACCGACUUCCCGAAGUUCCGUAUCAGAAUUCAUCCUCUUAAACACAGAUCUUUGCUUAGUUAGUGUAUCUCUUAGUUUCUGACAUGGUGUGCCUAUAGAAUAGCUUUUUAAUUUAAACCCUGCAGCUCUUAUUAUCUGGUAAGGGUCCAAGUUGAGCAGUCUACGUUGACGUGUACCUAGAUGAGGUUAUGUUGUGUGCACUGAGGGAUCCAGAUUUUUAAAGAAAGACCUGCUGCUGAGAAAACCGGAGCUUUGCAAUGCGCUAUAUACAUAAGCUAGACAGAAGACAUGAUGUAGAAAGUUUAAACUCUUUGAAGCACUGGGAAGUUGCAACCUGUAGAAUUAGACUCCCCGCAUUCAGUAGGAUAGCAGAGAAAUAAAUUGCGGUGAUGUGCUUUCAUUGAAACGUCCUGUCUCCAGCAUCCUCUGGUCCAAGUGGAUUCGUUUGUUCUGCAGAAGUAAUUUUCUAUUCCGUUGCCGGUAUGACAUUUUCGUGAUGCUGAAGUAAUUUGGACUUAGUAACCUUUCUUACCAAGUCGCUUUAUGGUUUACAAAUAAUACUGAUGCAAAGAGGGUGUGUUAACUUCUUGAAUUAAGUAGCACGUGCUUUGUUUACCUGCUUCAUUUGAUUGUGGGGUAACCGUGGGGUUGAUCCCGUUUCACGAGCACAGGGUUUGUGCUUUGGGGACAUACUGCAAUUGUGCUGUUCUCUUGUACCAAGGAUCAGUGAAAGUGUUUUAUCUUUUUUAUGUAGUUUGUAUCGACGGGCUUUUAUAACUGUAAGAAAACAGAAACAGAGUGUUGUAUUUUGAUCUGAAAUUUGUCUAUGGUAAAGUAAAUUUUGUUUUAUGUAUCGGAAGUUCAUUUAAAACUUGAAAUAUUUUCUAGAAGGGUACCGAACAAGAGAAUCGUCUUUAAGCUGUUUAAUUCGCCUAAUAAAACACUUCGAUGG
rnacentral:lncRNA from 1 species